rnacentral:rRNA from 1 species
AUUGAACGCUGGCGGCAGGCCUAACACAUGCAAGUCGAGCGGAUGAAGGGAGCUUGCUCCUGGAUUCAGCGGCGGACGGGUGAGUAAUGCCUAGGAAUCUGCCUGGUAGUGGGGGAUAACGUCCGGAAACGGGCGCUAAUACCGCAUACGUCCUGAUGGAGAAAGUGGGGGAUCUUCGGACCUCACGCUAUCAGAUGAGCCUAGGUCGGAUUAGCUAGUUGGUGGGGUAAAGGCCUACCAAGGCGACGAUCCGUAACUGGUCUGAGAGGAUGAUCAGUCACACUGGAACUGAGACACGGUCCAGACUCCUACGGGAGGCAGCAGUUGGGAAUAUUGGACAAUGGGCGAAAGCCUGAUCCAGCCAUGCCGCGUGUGUGAAGAAGGUCUUCGGAUUGUAAAGCACUUUAAGUUGGGAGGAAGGGCAGUAAGUUAAUACCUUGCUGUUUUGACGUUACCAACAGAAUAAGCACCGGCUAACUUCGUG